CAGUAGCCACGGUAAUACGUAGGGUGCAAGCGUUAAUCGGAAUUACUGGGCGUAAAGCGUGCGCAGGCGGUUAUAUAAGACAGAUGUGAAAUCCCCGGGCUCAACCUGGGAACUGCAUUUGUGACUGUAUAGCUAGAGUACGGCAGAGGGGGAUGGAAUUCCGCGUGUAGCAGUGAAAUGCGUAGAUAUGCGGAGGAACACCGAUGGCGUAGGCAAUCCCCUGGGCCUGUACUGACGCUCAUGCACGAAAGCGUGGGGAGCAAACAGGAUUAGAUACCCGAGUAGUCCCUGUCUCUUAUAC
rnacentral:rRNA from 1 species